rnacentral:rRNA from 1 species
GUUGUCCGGAAUCACUGGGCGUAAAGGGUCCGUAGGCGGUUUGAUAAGUCUCAUAUGAAAGCUUCAAGCUCAACUUGGAGAUGUUGUGAGAUACUGUCAGACUAGAGACUGUUAGAGGUAAGUGGAAUUCCAGGUGUAGUGGUGAAAUGCGUAGAUAUCUGGAGGAACACCAGUGGCGAAAGCGACUUACUGGGACAGUUCUGACGCUAAGGGACGAAAGCGUGGGGAGCGAACCGGAUUAGAUACCCGGGUAGUCCACGCUGUAAACGAUGAUUGCUAGGUUUUCGGGGCAUCGACCCCUCGUGAGCCGAAGUUAACGCGUUAAGCAAUCCGCCUGAGUAGUACGGCCGCAAGGCUAAAACUCAAAGGAAUUGACGGGGGACCGCACAAGCAGCGGAGCGUGUGGUUUAAUUCGAUGGUAAGCGAAGAACCUUACCAGGGUUUGACAUGUAAGUAGUACUGAACCGAAAGGGGAUGGACCCGCAAGGGAGCUUACACAGGUGUUGCAUGGUUGUCGUCAGCUCGUGCCGUGAGGUGUUGGGUUAAGUCCCGCAACGAGCGCAACCCUCUUUGUUAGUUGCACUCUCUAACGAUACUGCCCUUAAAAGGGAGGAAGGUGGGGAUGACGUCAAAUCAUCAUGGCUCUUACACCCUGGGCUACACACACGCUACAAUGGCAAGUACAGACGGUCGCCAACCCGCGAGGGGGAGCUAAUCCGAUAAAACUUGUCUCAGUUGGGAUUGCAGGCUGAAAUUCGCCUGCAUGAACGUGGAGUUGCUAGUAAACGCAGGUCAGCACACUGCGUUGAAUACGUUCCCGGUCCUUGUACACACCGCCCGUCACGUCAUGGAAGUUGGUAACACUUGAAGUCGUUGCGCUAACCCUUUGGGAGGCAGACGCCGAGAGUGGGACUGAUGACUGGGACGAAGUCGUAACAAGGUAGCUGUACCGGAAGGUGCGGCUGG